rnacentral:rRNA from 1 species
GUAGGGAAUCUUCCGCAAUGGACGCAAGUCUGACGGAGCAACGCCGCGUGAGUGAAGAAGGUCUUCGGAUCGUAAAGCUCUGUUGUUAGAGAAGAACAGCGCAUAGAGUAACUGUUAUGCGUGUGACGGUAUCUAACCAGAAAGCCACGGCUAACUACGUGCCAGCAGCCGCGGUAAUACGUAGGUGGCGAGCGUUGUCCGGAUUUAUUGGGCGUAAAGGGAGUGUAGGCGGUCUUUUAAGUCUGAUGUGAAAGCCCACGGCUCAACCGUGGAGGGUCAUUGGAAACUGGGAGACUUGAGUGCAGAAGAGGAGAGCGGAAUUCCAUGUGUAGCGGUGAAAUGCGUAGAUAUAUGGAGGAACACCAGUGGCGAAGGCGGCUCUCUGGUCUGUAACUGACGCUGAGGCUCGAAAGCGUGGGGAGCAAACAGGAUUAGAUACCCUGGUAGUCC